rnacentral:tRNA from 1 species
UCCCUUGUGUUCCAGUGGCUAGGACUCUGUACUCCCAAUGCAGGGAGCCCAGGUUCAAUCCUUGGGAGGGGAA